UACAGAGGGUGCAAGCGUUUGUUCGGAAUUAUUGGGCGUAAAGCGCGUGUAGGCGGCUUUGCAAGUCGGGUGUGAAAGCCCUCAGCUCAACUGAGGAAGUGCGCCCGAAACUGCAGAGCUUGAGUGCCGGAGAGGGUGGCGGAAUUCCCCAAGUAGAGGUGAAAUUCGUAGAUAUCGGGAGGAACACCAGUGGCGAAGGCGGCGAUCUGGGAAGAUACUGACGCUGAGGUGCGAAAGCGUGGGGAGCAAACAGG
rnacentral:rRNA from 1 species